rnacentral:rRNA from 1 species
UACGGGGGGGGCAAGCGUUGUUCGGAAUUACUGGGCGUAAAGGGCGCGUAGGCGGCCUACUAAGUCGGACGUGAAAUCCCUCGGCUCAACCGAGGAACUGCGUCUGAUACUGGAUGGCUUGAAUCCGGGAGAGGGAUGCGGAAUUCCAGGUGUAGCGGUGAAAUGCGUAGAUAUCUGGAGGAACACCGGUGGCGAAGGCGGCAUCCUGGACCGGCAUUGACGCUGAGGAGCGAAAGCCAGGGGAGCAAACGGG